GGGCAUCGUAGGAGGAGCACCAUCAUCGGCGGAGCGAACAUAUCAAUAAGCGGAGGAGCAUAUCAAUCAGCGGAGGAACAUAACAAUUCGCGGAGGAGACCGGACCCCCUGGGAGGACGGACUCGGCGCCCGCCGGAGGAUAACCAAACGCUAUUUUAACGACGUUUCUUCUGAGUGGCAUAAGCAAAAUAAUCAAAACUUUUAACAACGGAUCUCUUGGUUCUGGCAUCGAUGAAGAACGCAGCGAAAUGCGAUAAGUAAUGUGAAUUGCAGAAUUCAGUGAAUCAUCGAAUCUUUGAACGCACAUUGCGCCCGCCAGCAUUCUGGCGGGCAUGCCUGUUCGAGCGUCAUUUCAACCCUCAAGCUCUGCUUGGUGUUGGGGCUCUACGGUCGACGUAGGCCCUCAAAGGUAGUGGCGGACCCUCCCGGAGCCUCCUUUGCGUAGUAACAUUUCGUCUCGCACUGGGAUCCGGAGGGACUCUUGCCGUAAAACCCCCCAAUUUUUCAAGGUUGACCUCGGAUCAGGUAGGAAUACCCGCUGAACUUAAGCAUAUCAAUAAGCCGGAGGAAA
rnacentral:rRNA from 1 species